rnacentral:lncRNA from 1 species
CUUCCCUCAAGUCUCAACCAUGGCUUCCGCUCCCUCUCUCAAAAUUCCCAACCCCUCCUCUCCCGCCGCCUCCGCCACGAGUAGAGACCGUCGCCAUCUUCUCGUCACCAUCCCUUCCACGGUGGCCUCACCGACCUCCCCUCGUCGUAGAUCCGCCUCCCUCGCAGUCGCCUUCGCCGCCGCAUCUGCUAGCGCCGCCUCCAUCAACGGCGGCGGCGUCCCCAAGAUCAACGGCCACCCCCGGAUCAACGGCUUCGAACCCGCCGCCGGCCUCCGCGUAGCCUUCCAGGGCGCCCCCGGCGCCUACUCCGAGUUCGCCGCCAAGACCGCCCUUCUGGGCUGCGACACCCUCCCCUGCCGCGCCUUCGCGGACGCCAUCUCUGCCGUCGAGCGCGGCCUCGCCGACCGUGCCAUCCUCCCCGUUGAGAGCACCAUGGAAGGCGCCGCCCUCCGCAACUACGAUCUCCUCCUCCGGCACGACCUCCGCGUCGUCCAGGAGAUCAGCCUCUUCGUUAACUACUGCCUCCUCGCCAUGCCUGGCGUCAGCCCCGCCGAGGUCCGCCGUGUCAUCAGUCACCCCGUGGCCCUUGCCCACUGCGGCCGCGCCCUCGCCCAGCUCGGC